rnacentral:lncRNA from 1 species
AGAAAUUUCUAGCAGUUAAAAAAAGUUAUUAGCAAAUCUCCUCUUUUACCCUUAAAAACCUAAAAUAAUUUGCAAAAGAUACCUAUUCCCUUAUUUUAGGUAUAAUAUCAUUUUAAAAAAUAAAUCCAGUCAGUUUGAUAUUAUAAUUUAUAUACAUAGUUUUAGAAGUUUUUAAUCUAUUUUAUUUUGAGAACUAGGUAGGUGCUUUUAAAGAAAAUAUGCUUAGGCUGGCCUUGCUAGGUUCUAGGAUGGAAGAGUGUUUCUACGUUCGAUUUUUUAAAAAACCCAUGAUAUAAUUCUAGAUUUCUUUUUUCUUGAGACAUCAAUUGGUCACCAUAGUAACAUAGCGUUUUACUACAGAGAUCUAUACAGCACAAGGGAAACAGAACGGCAAUUACUUACUGGGUUACUUGGGGGUACAGAAUGUGACUACAGGGAUAAUUUAAGAUUAAAUAUAGAUUUCUUUGGGGAUCUGUUUUAGCAAAGCAAGCUGAUUCAAUCUUCUAGUAGCGUCAGCUGAACAAAAUUUGAAGCCAAAUUGACUGCUGACAUCAUUUGAAAUAAUAUGAGCAGGCAAGCAGCAUAGCUCAGUGGUUAAGAGCACAGGCUUUGGGGUCAAGUUUCGUAGGUCCAAAUUCUGCUUCUACUGUUUGCUAGCUGUGUGACCUUGGGAAAGUUCCCUAACUUCUCUGUGCCUCUGUUUCUUCAUCUCUAAAAUGUGGGUAAUAAAACCUUCCUCAAAGGGUUGUUAUAAGGAUUCAAUGACUGUUUGUGCUUAGAACAGUGCCUUGCACAUUAGAAAGAACUUUCUUAAGUAUUUGUUAAAUAAAGACAAAAUAAAAUUUAAAGGGGCUCCUCUCUUUGUGCUGAAAAUAGUCAAAGACAUGAAAAUUUGAGUUCACGGCUGAUUAUUUUAGCCUGUAACUUUGGUAGAUUCCUUUGAGAACUUCCCCAGGGUCUUGUUGCUAGCAUUUCUACAAGAUGUGAAAUUCUGUGGCAGUCUACUGUCCUAAAUCAGAGCUGGGAACAAUCACAAGCACCCCUGGUUCCAGGAACAUCAGAAGGAAGAUGAUCACACAGCACAAAGGAACAGCACGCCUGCCCACUUCAGCUCCCCAAGCCCUGCCAAUAACCUCUGGGAACAUGGGCAUAGAAUAAGCAGCUGAAAAAGGAUGAAACAGCUUUUAUUACAGUGAUGAUGAAACCUAGUUGGUUUCGGUAAUUUUUUCCCCUCUUUCCAGGCUUCAAGGGGAAAAAAUCCUUUUCAUCAAUGAGUGCUUUGUUUCAUUAAUUAUCACUAUACACAAUUUCC